GAGAAAAUGUGUUGAAGACAUGCAAAUUGGAGACACAAACAAUACAGAAAAGAGGCGGGAAAGGAUGCUCCCGACAAGGUCAGAACCCCCUAUUGAAACGAAUAAGAAAGGAAGCGAGGCGUGUCGAAGAAGGCGACGUUUUCGGAAGAGAGACGGAUUCUGGGGCAUUCACACACCAUUUAAUUGGUUCGUGUCUUUCUCGAAAAGA
ensembl:ncRNA K06A1.8 ncRNA